CAUGCAAGUCGAGGGGCAGCAUGAACUUAGCUUGCUAAGUUUGAUGGCGACCGGCGCACGGGUGAGUAACACGUAUCCAACCUGCCGAUGACUCGGGGAUAGCCUUUCGAAAGAAAGAUUAAUACCCGAUGGCAUAGUUCUUCCGCAUGGUAGAACUAUUAAAGAAUUUCGGUCAUCGAUGGGGAUGCGUUCCAUUAGGUUGUUGGCGGGGUAACGGCCCACCAAGCCUUCGAUGGAUAGGGGUUCUGAGAGGAAGGUCCCCCACAUUGGAACUGAGACACGGUCCAAACUCCUACGGGAGGCAGCAGUGAGGAAUAUUGGUCAAUGGACGAGAGUCUGAACCAGCCAAGUAGCGUGAAGGAUGACUGCCCUAUGGGUUGUAA
rnacentral:rRNA from 1 species